rnacentral:rRNA from 1 species
CCUACGGGGGGCAGCAGUGAGGAAUAUUGGUCAAUGGACGAGAGUCUGAACCAGCCAAGUAGCGUGAAGGAUGACUGCCCUAUGGGUUGUAAACUUCUUUUAUAUGGGAAUAAAACGUUCCACGUGUGGGAUUUUGUAUGUACCAUAUGAAUAAGGAUCGGCUAACUCCGUGCCAGCAGCCGCGGUAAUACGGAGGAUCCGAGCGUUAUCCGGAUUUAUUGGGUUUAAAGGGAGCGUAGGUGGAUUGUUAAGUCAGUUGUGAAAGUUUGCGGCUCAACCGUAAAAUUGCAGUUGAAACUGGCAGUCUUGAGUACAGUAGAGGUGGGCGGAAUUCGGGGUGUAGCGGUGAAAUGCUUAGAUAUCACGAAGAACUCCGAUUGCGAAGGCAGUUCACUGGACUGCAACUGACACUGAGGCUCGAAAGUGUGGGUAUCAAACAGGAUUAGAUACCCUUGUAGUC